rnacentral:lncRNA from 1 species
GGCCUACGUCAUCGGCACCGCGCGCCGCCCAAGGUCGGAGCGGUUGGGGAGGGAAGCGGGCCGACGGUUGCGCGGGCAGCCGCUGCUACUAUGGGAGAAAAAAAAAAAGUGAGGAUGCCACUCUGGGACGUCCCCGUGGGCCGCACGGAAGCCCGCGAGCCCGGGGAACGGCAGAUGUCACCUCACGCCCGACUCCCUGUGGGCUGAGGGACUCUGUGUCCUUGUCACACUUCCUUCUCGGAGAGCUUGGACGGUGCUCUUCGCCCGCCACCUCUGUCCCCGCCCGCCUGUCUUCGUGCCUGCUGGGCGUAUUUUCGGGCUCUGGCACCCAGUCAGCCUGCGAGUGCGGAGUCGCCCCCAGCUUGCCACCAGGGAAGUCAGAUGAUGCUGUCUUCUGUUGGCUACUUCAUAGUACCUCCAUUUUCAAAGAACAUCUUCCUGAGAAUAAACUUGGAAAGUAAUGUGACCACAAAACAUCAUAUUCACAGAGAGUUCAAAGGGAUACUGGAUACAAAAUAAGAAAAUCUGAGAGAUUAAAACUCAAGAGUUGAGUUCCAGCCUGGAAAACAGGAUGAAAGAACUUUCCAGCCUGCACCAAUGUUCACAGUUCUGAUUGAAUUACAAAAUUUUUCUUCUUUUGAACUCAGAAGUCACUUGGAAACUUUGGGGGAAGUUUCACCACAUCCUUUAAGUCUUUCAUCUGGUUAGCAGGAGAGAUACAUUAGAACUUAGAGAAGUCUCUGAGCCUCCAGUAUCAGUAGCCUUGCCAGAAAUCUACCCCUAAGGCUUCUUGGCCAGGCUUCAUUGUCAGUGUGGUUCACGUUCACAGUUUUACCUUCAGCUAGCCAUAUUUUCCCAGAUGGUCUUAAACUAUUUGCUGAAUUUUGGGUUUUUUUGUCUUGUCUUAUUAGAUUUUGUUUGUUUGGUUGGUUUGUUUGUUUAUUUUGCAGAGAAUUUUCAGACUUUUCUGUUAGGUAAAUUUUAUAUUACCAUUAAGAAAUGCUUUCCAAGUUGUGCAUUGCCAAGUAACUGCUUUUCACUAUUCUAGUUUCCUUGGAAUUUUGGUAUUUUUAUUUUGUGUCUUGAUCUUUGGACAUGAACCACACCAUUAUUAGUUUCUACUGGAGAUAUUUGUGUGUUGUGUGUACUUGAUAAUGUGUGGCAUGUGUACUUGAUAAUGUGUAGGUCUUCACAUACGUGCACAUGAGUGUAGACGACAGAGGUUGACUUUGGGUGUUUUCCUCCAUCAUUCUUCCACCUUAGGUUUUGACCCAAGGUCUCUCACUGAACCUGUGAUUCAUCAGUUCAGGCAGGCAGGCUAGCUAACAAGUUUCCCAGAUCUACCUGUCUGCCCUCUCAGGCCUGGGGUUAUCGGACAUAUUAGAUGAGCACUUUACUAGCUGAGUCAUCUACGACACCCCGUGGAAACAAUGUAUCCAGAGGAUUCUUAUCUGGGUCUUUCUUCUUCUUUAUCUACUUUAUCUUUUUUCUAAGUAUCCUUUCCUGGCAUUUGUUACAUCACAAGCUUUUGUAUCUGUAUUUCUUGACUCCUUCCUUGUUAUUUCAGUCCUGCUUUCACUUUCUUGAUAUCUUAGCAUGGACUUUUACAGCAUCUUGUGUGGGCAGCUGCUCCUCCAUGACCUCUAUGGGCCUCUCCUCUUGAUAAAGUACUUUAUUAAGGCAAACUGAAGCUCCUGUCACUCAGUCAGUUUCAGAGCUGCAAGUGCUACUUACCAUUCUCCUCCAUAGUCAAUGGCAAGUUCUGUGUCCCUUAGGUUGUUUCUUCCAUAAGCCUAAGGGCUUUGCUUGUAUGAACCAAAUCCUCGUUCCUGAAUUUAAAAAAAAAAAAAAUGUGUAUCGGUAAUUAUUUACAUCUUACUCUGGAAUUGCUGCACAUAUCCUUCCAAGUUACAAUUUGGAAUCAAAAUAUUCCCAGAUCAAUCACCUAUAUGUUUUUCUCUGCCUAGCAUCAUUUUGGUUUCCUAUUGCUCAGAUACCACUGCCAAGAUGGGAAAUCUUUGCCUGCUCAUACCUGGAUCCAGAGUUCAAAAUGGCCAAAUAGUAGCUCUAACUUAUAGUCUAGGGGGACUCUUAUUGUGUCUCCUGGCAGAAAUGCAUCCCAUUUGGAAGCCAGGACUUUUAUACCUUCAGUGUACAGAGUUUUGGGGACUGGAAAGUGUCCCCUAACAAGUCAGUAGAACUGGUCUUCAGUGGGGUAGUUUCUGCUUUCUCUGUUUUGUUCUUGGAACCAUGUAUUUGUUCUUAGUAGGGACAAUAAUCCGAGCCAGUAUAUGUACUGUUUCCUGAAGGAUGGCAUUUCAUCCUUCUGAAACCCUGCUUCUGAACUGGCACUUCAGUUAGACCAUUAUCACACUGAAAGCAAACAUUAGAGUUAAACAGUUAGGUCAGAAACAUCGAGAAAGGUAAAUAAGAAGGCUUGCACCUGACUAUGAAAUAGCCAAGCUGAGCAGAUAAGAGAAGAAGCAGAACUCUGGGCUGUUUCAGCAGGGCCCAGGAGCCCCACCCUCUCCUGCAGAAACAUGUGUAAGGUAUUGUUGCCCUUUCCCUUAGUAAACAUCUAAAAUUUACAGGUAGUUAAACCUCAUGGAUAACCAUGCAUCUAAUUGUAACAGACUGAAUUGUGGGUAAUGGCUUCUGAGAAAGCCUCCAUCUUUUUUAGGAGGGCAACCUCUCCAGACUGCCCCAGGGAUAGACAAAGGAGAACUGGUGGACAAAGUCCAGAUGCUAGAGGCAUCCCUUGGCCAUUGCCACUUGGCUCACAGUACCCUCCCAUCUUACCUUUGCCUUCCCGCCUGCUACAGUAAACCUCAAUAACUUGUUUGUCUUACCUGUUCCCUAAUGUGAAUCUCUUUACUUGAGAUUGGAGGACAUGUGGGAGGAGACAUCUCUAACACCAUCAGUAGGUUGCCUGGUGAUGUGUCAAGCUGAAUAACACUGUUGAUUCCCUGGACAUGAGUUCACAUGUUAUCUUUUUACUGUGAAGUAGGUCCCGUUUGCAUGCUGUUGAAUUGGACCCCAUACCUGUGAUUCAGGCAUUCUUUAAGGCCCUAAGUAAUGAUAAUAUAGGCCAAGGCUCUGAAAGGCAUAACAAGUCCAUACCCAGAAUAAGUAUUCACCCCUGUUGGGAUAGACCACUAGCUACUCCAAAAUGGAAAGAGCCCAUGUUAUUGACCAGGUAUCUGAUUUGUCUCAAGUAAUACUGUGGUAUUGAGAACACAGUGUACGCCUCUGUUCCUAAAAGGUUCCUUAGAAACAGAUGUAGAUAUGGAUUGGCUUUUGUAGCUGGGAAUUUAUGUUGUGACUCACAUAUAGCCUCCUGUACAAACAUGACAAUCAUGUUGUCUUAGUGACAGUUCUAGAGUAGGCCAUGACAAACACUUGCUUAACACCAACUAAUAGAAUCCUUUGUCAGUUUGAAUUUUUCUGUUUCUCUUCCAUGAUGGAUGUUCUCUAGUCAGAAUGAACAUGUCAUUAACCGCUAAGCAAGACAGGCACCUUUAGGGAUAGAAUCCUAUGUUGAUGCACCUUCAGGGUAUCCUUUCUUUAUUUGCAGCUAAGGCUCUAUGGCAUAAGCAGCAGUGCAUUCCUUGAGGCGUGUUUACUCAUUUUUUUUUUUUUGUCUACUCAUUUUUUGCUCAGCAAGCUCCAGGAUGUGUCUACUAUAGCCUCUUUUAAAACUAUGACCUUGAACUGAGUCUGCUCAGGGAUGUACUCCUUAACUAAGCUUGCUAUUGUUCAGUCUUGGGCCAACCUUUAUGUGAGUGAAUGUGUAUAGGCUCUCUGAAUAAAAUUCCCAUGCUUUCUUUGUUGGAAGAUGUUUGGAAAGGACAUCUUAUCUCUUUCUCUACUCUAUUUAUAUAUUGACUGUGAUUAUUUUGGCUUGCACUCAAUGAUAUGUAACCCCAUUAUAUUUGAUUACAAUAUAAUAAAGAUCCUCACCCCAUGUGACCUCAUAUCUCCAUUUCUAUACCUCUCUUCCUUACUCCAUUGUCUCUGACCUUCCAGUCUUCUCUGCUGAGAAAGUCUAUAUAGGAUGAUCAUGCCAUCAAACACUUGAAACUAGCAACAGUAACACUGAGAAACUGAAGUGGAAAUUUAAGGGCUCUUUGGAAAGUCAUUUGUAUUGAUGGUGUUUUGCUGGGGCAAACACGUGUAGUAAGAU